AGCACCGGCUAACUACGUGCCAGCAGCCGCGGUAAUACGUAGGGUGCAAGCGUUAUCCGGAUUUAUUGGGCGUAAAGGGCUCGUAGGCGGUUCGUCGCGUCCGGUGUGAAAGUCCAUCGCUUAACGGUGGAUCCGCGCCGGGUACGGGCGGGCUUGAGUGCGGUAGGGGAGACUGGAAUUCCCGGUGUAACGGUGGAAUGUGUAGAUAUCGGGAAGAACACCAAUGGCGAAGGCAGGUCUCUGGGCCGUUACUGACGCUGAGGAGCGAAAGCGUGGGGAGCGAACAGGAUUAGAUACCCUGGUAGUCCACGCCGUAAACGGUGGAUGCUGGAUGUGGGGCCCUUUUUCCGGGUCCUGUGUCGGAGCUAACGCGUUAAGCAUCCCGCCUGGGGAGUACGGCCGCAAGGCUAAAACUCAAAGAAAUUGACGGGGGCCCGCACAAGCGGCGGAGCAUGCGGAUUAAUUCGAUGCAACGCGAAGAACCUUACCUGGGCUUGACAUGUGCCGGACGCCCGCGGAGACGCGGGUUCCCUUCGGGGCCGGUUCACAGGUGGUGCAUGGUCGUCGUCAGCUCGUGUCGUGAGAUGUUGGGUUAAGUCCCGCAACGAGCGCAACCCUCGCCGCGUGUUGCCAGCGGGUCAUGCCGGGAACUCACGUGGGACCGCCGGGGUUAACUCGGAGGAAGGUGGGGAUGACGUCAGAUCAUCAUGCCCCUUACGUCCAGGGCUUCACGCAUGCUACAAUGGCCGGUACAACGGGGUGCGACACGGUGACGUGGGGCGGAUCCCUGAAAACCGGUCUCAGUUCGGAUCGCAGUCUGCAACUCGACUGCGUGAAGGUGGAGUCGCUAGUAAUCGCGGAUCAGCAACGCCGCGGUGAAUGCGUUCCCGGGCCUUGUACACACCGCCCGUCAAGUCAUGAAAGUGGGCAGCACCCGAAGACGGUGGCCUAACCUUUGUGGGGGGAGCCGUCUAAGGUGAGGCUCGUGAUUGGGACUAAGUCGUAACAAGGUAGCCGUACCGGAAGGUGCGGCUG
rnacentral:rRNA from 1 species